UUGCAUUUGAAGCCAAUGAGGUGAGAACCUCCGGGGGAAGAGGUUCGACCCGAGCGAAGCGAGAGAACGUUGCGUCAGCAACGGCCCGCAGGGCGAGCCACGCAGUGGCGAGUCAUCCUCUAUCACCGACCA
rnacentral:sRNA from 1 species